rnacentral:rRNA from 1 species
UGCUUUUGAUGGGCGUCGACCGGCGCACGGGUGAGUAACGCGUAUCCAACCUGCCCACCACUUGGGGAUAACCUUGCGAAAGUAAGACUAAUACCCAAUGACGUCUCUAAAAGACAUCUGAAAGGGAUUAAAGAUUUAUCGGUGAUGGAUGGGGAUGCGUCUGAUUAGCUUGUUGGCGGGGUAACGGCCCACCAAGGCGACGAUCAGUAGGGGUUCUGAGAGGAAGGUCCCCCACAUUGGAACUGAGACACGGUCCAAACUCCUACGGGAGGCAGCAGUGAGGAAUAUUGGUCAAUGGGCGAGAGCCUGAACCAGCCAAGUAGCGUGCAGGAUGACGGCCCUAUGGGUUGUAAACUGCUUUUAUAAGGGAAUAAAGUGAGUCUCGUGAGACUUUUUGCAUGUACCUUAUGAAUAAGGACCGGCUAAUUCCGUGCUAGCAGCCGCGGUAAUACGGAAGGUCCGGGCGUUAUCCGGAUUUAUUGGGUUUAAAGGGAGCGUAGGCCGGAGAUUAAGCGUGUUGUGAAAUGUAGACGCUCAACGUCUGCACUGCAGCGCGAACUGGUUUCCUUGAGUACGCACAAAGUGGGCGGAAUUCGUGGUGUAGCGGUGAAAUGCUUAGAUAUCACGAAGAACUCCGAUUGCGAAGGCAGCUCACUGGAGCGCAACUGACGCUGAAGCUCGAAAGUGCGGGUAUCGAACAGGAUUAGAUACCCUGGUAGUCCGCACGGUAAACGAUGGAUGCCCGCUGUUGGUCUGAAUAGGUCAGCGGCCAAGCGAAAGCAUUAAGCAUCCCACCUGGGGAGUACGCCGGCAACGGUGAAACUCAAAGGAAUUGACGGGGGCCCGCACAAGCGGAGGAACAUGUGGUUUAAUUCGAUGAUACGCGAGGAACCUUACCCGGG